CAGUGAUCACUUUAACGGCCGCGGUACCCUGACCGUGCAAAGGUAGCAUAAUCAUUUGCCUUUUAAUUGGAGGCUAGUAUGAAUGGUCUAACGAGAGUAAAACUGUCUCAUACAUAUUCAAUAGAAAUUAACUUAAAGGUGCAAAGGCCUUUAUACCCCAAAAAGACGAGAAGACCCUGUUGAGCUUUAAUCUAGCAUUCUCCCUAUAUUUAUAAAUUCAUUUCGCUUACUAAAGAUUUUAAUUGGGGCGAUUAAGGAACACUCACCAGCUUCCUGAAAAAUUAAAUCGAUCCGGUACCACCGAUCAACAAAACGAGUUACCACAGGGAUAACAGCAUAAUUCUCCUUAAGAGCCCAUAUCGAAAGGGGAGAUUGUGACCUCGAUGUUGGACUAGGGUAACUAGAAGGUGUAGCCGCUUUCUUGGUUGGUCUGUUCGACCAGUAAUUCCCU
rnacentral:rRNA from 1 species